AAUUGGAGGGCAAGUCUGGUGCCAGCAGCCGCGGUAAUUCCAGCUCCAAUAGCGUAUAUUAAAGUUGUUGCAGUUAAAAAGCUCGUAGUUGAAUUUCGGGAUCAGCAGGUUGGUCGUGCCUACGGUAUGAACUGGCCUUGCUGAUUCCUCCCUCUUGAUGAGCCGUAAUGCCAUUAAUUUGGUGUUGCGGGGAAUCAGGACUGUUACUUUGAAAAAAUUAGAGUGUUUAAAGCAGGCAAGCGCUUGAAUACAUUAGCAUGGAAUAAUGAAAUAGGACGUUCGAUCCUAUUUUGUUGGUUUCUAGGAUUGACGUAAUGAUUAAUAGGGAUAGUUGGGGGCAUUAGUAUUCAAUUGUCAGAGGUGAAAUUCUUGGAUUUAUUGAAGACUAACUACUGCGAAAGCAUUUGCCAAGGAUGUUUUCAUUAAUCAAGAACGAAAGUUAGGGGAUCGAAGACGAUCAGAUACCGUCGUAGUCUUAACCAUAAACUAUGCCGACUAGGGAUCGGAUGAUGUUAAUUUUUUAAUGACUCAUUCGGCGCCUUACGGGAAACCAAAGUGU
rnacentral:rRNA from 1 species